rnacentral:lncRNA from 1 species
CCUCUUCUUCUUCAUCUUAAUUUAAACCAAACGUUGACUACUGUUCCUCUUAUUUUCUACACCCCACAAUAAAUCCAUCUUUCUUCCUUGAUUAUUUUUUACUCUGCUCUAUGAUGUGUUCGUUAGCUAUCUCUCUUACGGAUAAUGCCGAAGUGUUUAUUUAUACUCUUAAAUUGAUGUGUGAACUCCACAAUAAAUCCCAUCUUUCUUCCUUUAAUUAUAUUUUACCCUGCUCUAUGAUGUGUUCGUUAGCUAUCUCUCUUACGGAUAAUGCCGAAGUGGUUAUUUAUACUCUUAAAUUGAUGUGUGAAUAUAGAAAACUAUAAUACUGGUGUUCAUAAGAUUAGCAAAACCUUAUACUUCUUCAAUUCCAGUAGCACUUGCGAACUAAUUUUUUCUCAUCUUUUGUUUGUACCAACUGUAAUCCCAUCCGGAUCCUUUAACCAUGAAUCCCAAAUUGUGGUAUUGUUGUAAAUUGAAAUGAUCAGGUGAAUAUAUGCUUUUCCUUGGCAAUAUUUUAAAGACUUUUUCCUGCUCUAUUCAAAUGUGUUGUGCUUGAAGAUCGACAUAUGCAUUAAACUUAUGAUUUUUUCCGUGCUUAUAUCUUCACUCUAUAUUUUAUCAUACAGGAUUCCUACAAUGGAUGCACAGCGAGAUUGUACAAAUAUUUGGCCAGGUAAAUUUUCGUUCUACAUUUAACAAUGUUAUUUCUUUUUUUGGUUUCUUCAAUUAACAUUAUGUUUAUGAUUUUACAGGUUCUGCUAAAGAAUAUGAAGUU